rnacentral:rRNA from 1 species
GACUUUGCCUUUUUCGUCGGGGUUUGGGGGUUUAGGGACGGAAGCGAAGAGACCACUGCCCAACGCCGCGGCCGCUGCUCCGUGACUCGUUCUACCGCUCGAGCCGCGACUCUGCUAGAGAAGGUGCUGCGGACGAGUGAAGGCUGGGUAGUAGGCGGCGUCGGAGGAACAAGGCGGCGAGGAAGGACAGGCCUCUCCCGCGCCCCCUCUCACGCCUGCUGAAACUCUUUGCAGACAAACUCAGUCUACUGUUCAGUAAGAAGCUCUUCGAGCUACCCCAGCCCUCGAGGAAACCUUCUGUGCCGUGGCCGAGACCUUACCCACGAAAACCAGCCGGGCUCAAACCAGUCGCAUCAUCAUUACCACCCAAGUACCUGCCAAAACUAAGGAACUUGCUACCGUACUUGCUCUUCAACCUGCUGCGACGGGCGUGGAAAGUAUACUGCCUCCUCCAACUCCUACUACUGAUGCUAAAGUCCGGCCUACACUUAAUGUCCGCACCGAGCUGAAUGUUACAGGCCCUAGAACUGGAAUGUUCUGGACGUCGGGGUUCCUUAGGAGGUUCUGGAGUCAAACUUUGCAGAUGUUUCCUCCAAAAUUCCUUUCGGCUAAAAUCCUUACAAUCUAAGGAGAGGUUGAAAGAAUGUCUUCGACCGUAAUAGUAGUUCUCCUUAGUCUGGUUCUAUUCGCGCUUUCGAGUCGCGUUCCAACGCUCCCUCUAAUUCUGUCGCGCACGCGACCCUGACUACGGAAAGUGCUGCUACCCGUUCUUCGGCAAGUACAAACCGUCUUCACGUCUCCUCCUACGAAGUCUCCUCCUCAUACCCAUGCUGAAGCAGCUCUUCCUACGACCCGGACUUCUACGGCAACGGCUACGGCUACGGCACGGGCUACACCUCCGGCGCAUUUGUCACACCCGCAACAGCGGAGAUGUUCGAGCGGGUUAAACGUUUGACGUCUACAGAUUUUUACGUCGCCGGCUGCUGAAUUCCUAUAACACUGCUUGACAAUGAAACAAGAAACAAGACUUCCUCUAUACGGAACACGAGUCAAUAGGAGUAAAAGUCCAAGCGGAAACUUUCUCUUACACGCCUUGUGUAUUAUUCGUAUACGAGCAAAACGAAUACCAAAGUCUUCCUCUAUACGGAAAACGGG